UCCGUUUCCGGUAGCACCAGAUAAAUCGCGAGAGGAGAGUUAAAACCUGCCGUUUGCAUUUAGGACCACUUCGGGUCACGAUGGUCCGUAGUGGGAAAAACGGUGACCUUCAUCUUAAACAGAUCGCGUACUAUAAGCGCACAGGCGAGUACCACCCGACCACACUGUCGAGUGAGAGAAGCGGCAUCAGAAGGGCGGCUAAGAAAUUUGUCUUCAAAGAAAAAAAGCUGUUUUAUGUUGGAAAAGACAGAAAACAAAAUCGUUUGGUAGUUGUUUCGGAAGAGGAAA
rnacentral:lncRNA from 1 species